rnacentral:rRNA from 1 species
CCUACGGGUGGCAGCAGUGAGGAAUAUUGGUCAAUGGGCGCGAGCCUGAACCAGCCAAGUAGCGUGAAGGAUGACUGCCCUACGGGUUGUAAACUUCUUUUAUAAAGGAAUAAAGUGAGGCACGUGUGCCUUUUUGUAUGUACUUUAUGAAUAAGGAUUGGCUAACUCCGUGUCAGCAGCCGCGGUAAUACGGAGGAUCCGAGCGUUAUCCGGAUUUAUUGGGUUUAAAGGGAGCGUAGAUGGGUUGUUAAGUCAGUUGUGAAAGUUUGCGGCUCAACCGUAAAAUUGCAAUUGAUACUGGCAGCCUUGAGUACAGUUGAGGUAGGCGGAAUUCGUGGUGUAGCGGUGAAAUGCUUAGAUAUCACGAAGAACUCCGAUUGCGAAGGCAGCCUACUAAACUGCCACUGACGUUGAGGCCCGAAAGCGUGGGGAGCAAACAGGAUUAGAUACCCUAGUAGUC